AACGAACGCUGGCGGCAUGCCUAACACAUGCAAGUCGAACGAGACCUUCGGGUCUAGUGGCGCACGGGUGCGUAACGCGUGGGAAUCUGCCCUUCGGUUGGGAAUAACUGAGAGAAAUUUCAGCUAAUACCUUAUAAUGUCUUCGGACCAAAGAUUUAUCGCCGAGGGAUGAGCCCGCGUAGGAUUAGGUAGUUGGUGGGGUAAUGGCCUACCAAGCCGACGAUCCUUAGCUGGUCUGAGAGGAUGAUCAGCCGCACUGGGACUGAGACACGGCCCAGACUCCUACGGGAAGCAGCAGUGGGGAAUAUUGGACAAUGGGCGAAAGCCUGAUCCAGCAAUGCCGCGUGAGUGAUGAAGGCCUUAGGGUUGUAAAGCUCUUUUACCCGGGAUGAUAAUGACAGUACCGGGAGAAUAAGCUCCGGCUAACUCCGUG
rnacentral:rRNA from 1 species